GGGCCAUAGCUCAGUAGUAGAGCAUCUGCCUUGCAAGCAGAAGAUCCCAGAUUCAAUCUAUGGCAUCUCCA